UGUUUACUGUUGCCACACUGAGGGGGAAACCUUUCAAAACAUGUACACAUGAAUCUAGGAAAUUAAAGCAAUAGUGGCAGUAUCUAUACCUCUUCAUUGGCACUUAGUGCAGUACAGUCCAUAAAGUGAGUCCCGUGAUUAUCCAGGCAGGGACUACAUGCCUGUUUUCAUUUCUGUGUAUAUCUGUACUUUUUCCCAUAAUAGACUCUGGAUUUGGCAAAGUACGAACCCACACUUAGUAAGUGGGAUGUGUUUUUAAGUUUCCUGGUAUAGACCAGCAUUGUCUAUUGUGACCAACUCAUGUGAUUUCUUGCAUAAUCCAGGAUAUAGAACUUCUCUGAAUUACUUCCUGCAUCAUGUCCAAUAGCUGUGGUUGUUAGCAUAGUUUACAAUUUACAGAGCUGAAAAGUCUUGUAAGGCAGUUUGAAAGCUGGCCAAAAGCUUAAGUCUCCUCACAGCUAAUAUGUAUUUUAUUUUUAAUAUAAACUUCUGUAGUUUUAACUUUCAGUGACUGGAGUUUUGUGUACCAGAGAAUCACUGAAGAGAUCACUGUUUCUCUGUAAUUGUCUCCAAACAUCCACUAUGACCAAAAUUUUCCCCAAGCUUGUCUUGGUACUUAUUUAAAACUAGUUAUGAGCUAUCUUAACCUUGCAAUGCUUCAAGUUGCUUUAAAAUUUUGUGCUCCAGGAAGUUUAUGUAUUUAGACUCAUGAAAACUCAGAAAUGAGUCAGUGCUUGGUCACAAACCAAUAUGUAAAGCAGGGAUAUGGUUGCACUCUUGAAUGAAUCAAGUUAGGUAUGUAAUUCCAGCUAGGUAACCCAGCAUGAGGUUUCAUUUCAAAUGCCUGAUCUGUGUCAGGCAUUUGUUCAUCCAUGACAAGCCCAUAAAUUGAUAACCUAAUUAAAUUAUUUAUCAAGACUGUGGAAUUGAUAUAUUUCUCCGGAUGCACUAACACUGCUCUUUAGAACUUCUCAGGAAACAGCUUGCUCUGAGUGAGAGAUUCCGAUUUAGAGGACACAAACACAGAGGAGUGUGGCUCCAGCUGCAUCUGGGAGAUCAUAAUCUGGCUGUAAAAGGCUGUGCCUGUGUCUUGUCAGUCCCUAGCUCAGUGGAACAGAGGAGAACCUUAGGAAUAUCCAAAUGCAGAGUCCUUGGACCUUAACACAGAGGGUCUUUCUGCUCCAUUAAUAUUCUCACUAGUCUGUCCUGAACACCAAGUCUACACAUCUCUCAGAAUCAGCUGCAACAGGUCAAAUGCAAGUCAUCGAAUGUCCUUAAACCUAUGUGCUAUUUUUCCAUUUCUUCUAAUAAGAAUUAUUUUAAUUUAGUAUGUUCAUAGUAUUCACAUGCCUUCUAAAUUUCUCUGAAUUAUUAUUACCCCUGAAAUAGUCAGGUUGCUUAUUUAUACAACUUUGUUUCUUGCUUCCUUACAUAUAGCCAUGCUGAAAUUGUAAGUCUGGAAAGCUGAUUUCUUGUAUUGAUUUUUUACAGUAACUAGACAGCUAUUGUAAGUGGCACACAGUAUCAGGUGUUUCUGUUACAGUUUAAAGGUUUUAAAAUAGUUUUUCUAUUCUUAAAGGUAAAACAAGCAAAGAUAAAUAUUAAAAUAACAACGGCCUAGUGGCACAAAAUUAAAGUAACUUCAUCUUCAAUAAAUUGAACUGGGAGCCAGAAGGGUGGCUGGCUUUAAUGUAGGCUAAUUCUUUGAGGAGAAUGUCUGACUUGAGUCAUCUAAAUGUAAGUGACAUUUAGAUAUGAGAUAACAACCUCCCAAAUGCCUUUCAGAAGCAGAGAACACCCUGAAGAUAUUUCAUAGCAUUUGCUUACUUUAAAUCAUUGUCAACCAGCAGUCCUCCUAGCUUAAACCAAUUCAAAUACAUGUCUAAUAGUUCAUAAUGAGCUGUUAGUGGGUAGUUACUUUCCAGGACUCUCCUUAACUGAUGUCACACCAAUUUGUAACAGGAGAGUCUACAAGAAUGAAAUGCAUGAUCACAGACCACUUCAUUUUCAUCAAUUAGCAACCAACACCAGAAUUAGACCUUAACAUGACUUGUGUCUAACGUUAGCCUGUCCUGGCAUUAUUUUGCUUGAGCUUUACAGUGGCAGGAAACCUGCUGAACAUGUUCCUAAGUUUUGCUCAAGAUAUGUCAUGCUCUUAGAAAGGAUAUGGUAUAAGCAUGUCUUUCCUGCUCCUGCCCGCAUUACCUUGCACCUCGCCUAUCAUCUGGUCCAAUGCUCCAGCAAAGCCCUUCCCAUGGCAUUUAUACAGCACAAAACUGGAUUCAUACAUUUGUACCUGGGGCCAUUCUGUGACCACUUGCUUGUGCAGCUGUAUAAUUGGGUGUCUUCACCAUGAGGCAUUCAUCUCUUUUUGAACCUGGGAUUUCUAACGAGUGAUCUGUUGAUAGAGUAAAUAAACCUAGGUAUUUUCUGUGACUCA